CACGUAGGCGGCGCUCUAAGUCAGGUGUGAAAUCCCCCGGCUCAACCGGGGAACUGCACCUGAUACUGGUGCGCUCGAGGACGGUAGGGGUGAGUGGAACUCCAGGUGGAGCGGUGAAAUGCGUAGAUAUCUGGAGGAACACCGGUGGCGAAAGCGGCUCACUGGACCGUCUCUGACGCUGAGGUGCGAAAGCUAGGGUAGCAAACG
rnacentral:rRNA from 1 species